AUCGGCACUGCUGGUUGAGCGUCCCACUCAAAUUCGCGGAAGCUCGCGGAGCCGAUAUCGCUGAUGGCUUUUGACCACGGAUGUACUGGCAGGGGAUAGACAGCGAAUGAGGAAGGUCGGUGCGGUUUCGCCCCGGCCUUUUUUGUU
rnacentral:sRNA from 1 species